GAGAUCAUAUUAGCACUAAUGUACCAGAUCCCAUCAGAACUCUGCAGUUAAGCAUGUUUGUGCGAGAAUAGUACUAGUAUGGGUGAACUUCGCAAUUAAGCGUGCUUGUGCGAGAUUAGUACUAGGAUGGGUGACCCCUUGGGAAGUCCUCGUGUUGCACCCC